rnacentral:rRNA from 1 species
UACGGGGGGGGCAAGCGUUGUUCGGAAUUACUGGGCGUAAAGGGCUCGUAGGCGGCCAACUAAGUCAGACGUGAAAUCCCCAGGCUCAACCUGGGAACUGCGUCUGAUACUGGAUGGCUUGAAUCCGGGAGAGGGAUGCAGAAUUCCAGGUGUAGCGGUGAAAUGCGUAGAUAUCUGGAGGAAUACCGGUGGCGAAGGCGGCAUCCUGGACCGGCAUUGACACUGAGGAGCGAAAGCUAGGGGAGCAAACGGG